GUAAGGAAUAUUGGGCAAUGGGCGCAAGCCUGACCCAGCAACGCCGCGUGGAGGAUGACGGCCUUCGGGUUGUAAACUCCUUUUGUUCCGGACGAGGAAGGACGGUACGGGGCGAAGAAGUCACGGCCAACUACGUGCCAGCAGCCGCGGUAAAACGUAGGUGACGAGCGUUAUCCGGAUUUACUGGGCGUAAAGCGUGUGCAGGCGGGUGACCAAGUGGUGUAUGAAAGCGCCCGGCUUAACCGGGCGAGGGUAUGCCAGACUGGCCAUCUCGAGGCAGAGAGAGGGACGUGGAAUUCCGGGUGUAGUGGUGAAAUGCGUAGAGAUCCGGAGGAACUCCAGAGGCGAAGGCGGCGUCCUGGCUCUGACCUGACGCUCAGACACGAAAGCAUGGGGAGCGAACGGGAUUAGAAACCCGGGUAGUCC
rnacentral:rRNA from 1 species